rnacentral:rRNA from 1 species
UACAGAGGGUGCAAGCGUUGUCCGGAAUCAUUGGGCGUAAAGAGCGUGUAGGCGGCUUGGUAAGUCCGCUGUGAAAGUCCAGGGCUCAACCCUGGAAUGCCGGUGGAAACUGUCAAGCUUGAGUCCGGAAGAGGCGAGUGGAAUUCCUGGUGUAGCGGUGAAAUGCGCAGAUAUCAGGAGGAACACCAAUGGCGAAGGCAGCUCGCUGGGACGGUACUGACGCUGAGACGCGAAAGCGUGGGGAGCAAACAGG